rnacentral:rRNA from 1 species
ACCCCUACUCCUACGGGAGGCAGCAGUGGGGAAUAUUGCACAAUGGGCGCAAGCCUGAUGCAGCGACGCCGCGUGAGGGAUGACGGCCUUCGGGUUGUAAACCUCUUUCAGUAGGGAAGAAGCGAAAGUGACGGUACCUGCAGAAGAAGCGCCGGCUAACUACGUGCCAGCAGCCGCGGUAAUACGUAGGGCGCAAGCGUUAUCCGGAAUUAUUGGGCGUAAAGAGCUCGUAGGCGGUUUGUCGCGUCUGCCGUGAAAGUCCGGGGCUCAACUCCGGAUCUGCGGUGGGUACGGGCAGACUAGAGUGAUGUAGGGGAGACUGGAAUUCCUGGUGUAGCGGUGAAAUGCGCAGAUAUCAGGAGGAACACCGAUGGCGAAGGCAGGUCUCUGGGCAUUAACUGACGCUGAGGAGCGAAAGCAUGGGGAGCGAACAGGAUUAGAUACCCUGGUAGUCCAUGCCGUAAACGUUGGGCACUAGGUGUGGGGGACAUUCCACGUUUUCCGCGCCGUAGCUAACGCAUUAAGUGCCCCGCCUGGGGAGUACGGCCGCAAGGCUAAAACUCAAAGGAAUUGACGGGGGCCCGCACAAGCGGCGGAGCAUGCGGAUUAAUUCGAUGCAACGCGAAGAACCUUACCAAGGCUUGACAUGGACCGGACCGGGCUGAAACAGUCUCUCC